UGGUUUUGAGCUCCUCGAUUUCUCUUUAGAAUCGCUCUGAAGUUAAUAAAUUUUCUCAUAAAUAUGAGCACGACAACUAAACUGUUUGUUGAUGGUGGAAUAUAUCGGUUUAAUGGUUUAUUAUCCGACUUAAAGCACUUUGUCGAUGAAACUUUGGGACUUAAAGGGAAUUGGAGUUCCCCUGGCGGUGAUGUCAAGCUCUUUAAUGCCGCAUGCAGAUUCUGGAUAUGCUAUCAAAUGGUACGGUCACUCUAAAAAGCUUGUGAUUCAAACUGAUAAUGAACUAGUACUUGAAGCGGAAAUUUGCGAGUUUGGCGAAUCCAGUUGGGAGCGACGUGGUGGCUGGCGCAAGCAACGGUGUUUCGGUAUCUAAGGUAUACACAUGUCCUUAUACUUGUGUUAACAGAAAUAUAGUCGCUGAACUCGAGGGUGUAAAACUCGAUAUGACGAUUUUAGAGUCCCGUUUAUUUACUUCAAUUUCCCAACAAGAGUCUAAAUCUGACGAUAUUAACUCACUUCGCGCUAAACAGAAGGACAUGGAGGCCAUUAUAAAUAAAAAAGACGAAGUAAUCUGCAAACUCAAUGAGGAAAUUCAAUACAGGGUGUAUCAAAAAAGCGCAACCUCGGAAUUUCCCAAGACAUCGACAUUGUUUUAAAGACAAAAGAUUUUAGGCGCCUGGGAAUUUA